rfam:Schistosoma mansoni strain Puerto Rico chromosome 1, complete genome
AUCCAGCUGACGAGUCUCAGAUAUGACGAAUCGUGCGUCCUGGAU